GUGCCAGCAGCCGCGGUAAUACGUAGGGUGCAAGCGUUGUCCGGAAUUAGUGGGCGUAAAGAGCUCGUAGGCGGUUUGUUGCGUCGGCUGUGAAAACCUGAGGCUCAACCUCAGGCCUGCAGUCGAUACGAGCAGACUAGAGUGUUGCAGGGGAGACUGGAAUUCCUGGUGUAGCGGUGAAAUGCGCAGAUAUCAGGAGGAACACCGGUGGCGAAGGCGGGUCUCUGGGCAACAACUGACGCUGAGGAGCGAAAGCGUGGGGAGCGAACAGGAUUAGAUACCCUGGUAGUCCACGCCGUAAACGUUGGGCGCUAGGUGUGGGGCUCAUUCCACGAGUUCCGUGCCGCAGCUAACGCAUUAAGCGCCCCGCCUGGGGAGUACGGCCGCAAGGCUAAAACUCAAAGGAAUUGACGGGGGCCCGCACAAGCGGCGGAGCAUGUUGCUUAAUUCGAUGCAACGCGAAGAACCUUACCUAGGCUUGACAUGCACGGAAAUCCUCCAGAGAUGGUGGGUCCGUAAGGGCCGUGCACAGGUGGUGCAUGGGUUGUCGUCAGCUCGUGUCGUGAGAUGUUGGGUUAAGUCCCGCAACGAGCGCAACCCUCGUUCUAUGUUGCCAGGACGUCAUGGUGGGGACUCAUAGGAGACUGCCGGGGUCAACUCGGAGGAAGGUGGGGAUGACGUCAAAUCAUCAUGCCCCUUAUGUCUAGGGCUGCAAACAUGCUACAAUGGCCGGUACAAAGGGCUGCGAUACCGCGAGGUGGAGCGAUCCCAAAAAGCCGGUCUCAGUCGAUGGGGUCUGCACUCGACCCCCAUGAAGUGAGUCGCUAGUAAUCGCAGAUCAGCAACGCU
rnacentral:rRNA from 1 species